rnacentral:lncRNA from 1 species
AAAGAAGAAAACCAGGCUCUACCAAAUCAAAGACAACUUAUUUAAAAGACCAAAAGAAGAAAACCAGGCUCUACCAAAUCAAAGACAACUUAUUUAAAUUGAAUGAAGAAACUCUUUAUGAUGUGUCUGUUAGUAGGCAAACCAAAAGAAGAAAGGAAAUAUACAAAGAGGGAAUGGAAAUUCAAACAUAAGAACUUAAGCUUGAAGGUACAGAUUUACAGAUAAAUGAUUAAUCUAGUAUAUUAUCCCUAACAUUAAGAAUAGUUUCUCAUAAAGCAAUAAUCAGCCUUUGAGACUAUAUGAUACACAAACUACUGUUAAUAAACUUGAAUUCCACUUCUUCGGACAUUGAAUGUCCGUGAGUCAUGUGAUUGUAGAUCAACCUAACCAUAGACAAGCAGAAACAAAAAUUAUAGUUUUUCAACGAAGAAAAAACGAUUAUACACAAACUACCAGUUGAUAAUCAGAGGAAUUGAAUUAGGCGAAAACUUACCAAAGAAAACGAAAUUGGUACCAAAUUCUGGAAAAAGGAGUUGCUAGCGGUAUUGGAUAAUUGGUGGCGAGCAACCGGUAAACUGUAGUAAUUGUAGGGUUCGGCGUAAGUUUGCAGUAACUUGAGUUUUGGACUUAUAAAUUGGGCUUACUUUAUAUUACGAUGUUAUGGGUUCACAUUAUAUGACCUUUUCCUU